UACAUUUAAUAUGAAUAUUUUUUUCCGAAAAAUGGCAAAGAUCUGUACAAAAGCAGUCCAGAGGGCGAUGCGCUGCAUCCAAUGUGCUCCCUGAUGGCAUACAAUAGUAUUGUGUGAGGUGGAGAGUAGAAUUUAAAUGAUUAAUCACUGUAAACCUUCUCCUGAUGCACUCUGUAACAAUGCUGUCAUAUCUCAUUCAAACUUAUACAUUACAGAAAACGGCAUGUCGCAAACAGUCACAAGACACUUGAGAGCCAAUGAGCAUUCGACAUCACUGCUGUAAAACCACUGGUCUAGAUGUUUUUUGAGGUGGCAAUUUUUGAUUUUAAAAACGAAACCAACAUGGGUUGAUGGUUACAGUGGAUGGAGAUGGAGAUCGUUGAAUAAAAGACUAGAAUUUGGGUCUGUUCUUCACAAUGUAAUGAUGGCUGGCAGUAACAAUGACAGGUAGACGAAGACAAGAUGAUGUGAAGAACCCAAGUGCAGUUUAAUACAAACGUUUAAUCCAAACGUGAACAAAACAUAAACAUGAACUUGUCUAAUAAAUGUCGAAACUUGACAUGGCUUGAUAUGACUUCACUUGACUUGACAUGAAAUGACGUUACACCAACAAUGUUACAUUAACACAAUACCUGACAAGAGACAAUGGCAAACAUGAGGGCUAAAUACUUGGACUUGGGAGAACACAUGACAAUGAUAACCAAUGAACACACAGAACUCUAAACAAGAUAACGAGACUGCAAACAAGCUAAUGAAACAAUGAACCAAUGGGGACAAGACACAAGAACAUGGGAAACACGUGACAAGAUCACAUGACAAUGAAACAGGAACAAACAUGGCAUGGAACAAUUUUACCAAAAUAAAUGACAUGACCAAAAACACAUAAUACCAUGACACACAGAAAGCAGUCUGAAGAUUUGGAGUAUAGCUAACACAUUUGUGGAUUAAUGUUAUUAUUGUUUUAUGAUUUAUGAUUUAUGUUUUAUUUUUUGUGGUUUAUUUUGCUUUUUGGCAUAUUCUGAAAACUCAUUUUGUGUCCCAUGGCAAACAAAAAUAAAAUAAAAUGCUUAAUAAGUGAUUAAACGAUUACAGAGUUUUUGUACAUUUUAACAUUUUAAAGUCUAGUCUUGGUUAAAGUGAUGUAAUCCUUUAAAACGUUGUAUAGGGCAGCAGAAAUCACACAGAACUGAAUAAAACUAUUAAAAUGUCACAUUAUAUUAUCAACUGUGUUAAAUAAAUGUGAUGGCAAUUAACUGAUUAUAAAUGCAAAGAAAUGAACUGAUUAAUUCCAUGAAUUCAAUAUUAAUCAAUUCAAACAGUACACGUAAACAUUUGUAUGUUUCUAAAGGUGUUAAUGCCUAAAUUGAUGAUAUUUUAGAUGCUGUCAAUAUUGUACGUUUCGGUAUCUAUGCAAACGUAAGAUAAUGUACGUUUGCUAGAACCAAACUUUACGUAAAAAUACAAAUGUUCUUAUAUCACGUUGGAAUGUUAAUUGUUCUGUUUAUUUACUAUAAUAAAGACUAUAUUAGGCCUACAUGAUGUAUAUUCAUUUAUGAAUGGUAUAAUAUGUAUGAUAAAUUGUGUAAUUUUUAAGCAUUAGAUGUCACUCAUUAACAAAUGGAGUGCAGGACUUGGAACCUCUUUUCACAAAUGUUUCUUAAUUAUCCACUUUAAAUUAAUGUUCACUUUCAUGGGUUACUAAUGUUGAAAACUCAUUAAUAAGUGGUUCACAGUUGUUCACUUUACAUUAAGGUACAUUUUCAUAUGUUAUUAAUGCCAGUAACUCAUUAAUAAAUGGUUCACAGUUGUUCACUUUACAUUAAGGUACAUUUUCAUAUGUUAUUAAUGCCAGUAACUCAUUAAUAAAUGGUUCACAGGUGUUCACUUUACAUUAAGGUACAUUUUCAUAUGUUAUUAAUGCCAGUAACUCAUUAAUAAAUGGUUCACAGGUGUUCACUUUACAUUAAGGUACAUUUUCAUAUGUUAUUAAUGCCAGUAACUCAUUAAUAAAUGGUUCACAGGUGUUCACUUUACAUUAAGGUACAUUUUCAUAUGUUAUUAAUGCCAGUAACUCAUUAAUAAAUGGUUCACAGGUGUUCACUUUACAUUAAGGUACAUUUUCAUAUGUUAUUAAUGCCAGUAACUCAUUAAUAAAUGGUUCACAGGUGUUGAAAGUGCAUGAAAGUCACCCUUUUUAUUCAUGUUGUUAUAACUGCAUAUAAAUGAUUUACAAUGCAUUCAUAGAUGAUUUAUUAGUCAUUAAUGAACCACUUUAUAAACCCUUUACAAAGAGAACCUUAUUGUAAAGUGUAACCCGUUUAUCCAUAUUCAUGAUAUGAUCUGAAGAGUGUGUGAACAGCAGUGAAACACUUUUUUAUGAUGUGUUACAUUUAUAUGAGUAGACAGUGGGCACUUUCACACUGUUAUGAGUGAAAAGGUGGAUAUGACAUUGAGGAACUUUCCAUGGGGAGCUUAAUAGAGAUGGCCGUUCAAUUAAUAAGUGAUCAUCCCAA